ACGGGAGGCAGCAGUGGGGAAUUUUGGACAAUGGGGGCAACCCUGAUCCAGCCAUGCCGCGUGCGGGAAGAAGGCCCUCGGGUUGUAAACCGCUUUCAGGUGGAAAGAAAUGGUGUAGGUUAAUAACCUGCAUUGAUGACGGUACCAUCAGAAGAAGCACCGGCUAACUACGUGCCAGCAGCCGCGGUAAUACGUAGGGUGCGAGCGUUAAUCGGAAUUACUGGGCGUAAAGCGUGCGCAGGCGGUUCUUUAAGACAGGUGUGAAAUCCCCGGGCUUAACCUGGGAAUUGCGCUUGUGACUGGAGGGCUAGAGUGUGGCAGAGGGGAAUGGAAUUCCUGGUGUAGCAGUGAAAUGCGUAGAUAUCAGGAGGAACACCGAUGGCGAAGGCAGUUCCCUGGGCCAACACUGACGCUCAUGCACGAAAGCGUGGGGAGCAAACAGGAUUAGAUACCCUGGUAGUCCACGCCCUAAACGAUGUCAACUAGUUGUUGGGGAGGGAGACCUCUUUAGUAACGUAGCUAACGCGUGAAGUUGACCGCCUGGGGAGUACGGCCGCAAGGUUAAAACUCAAAGGAAUUGACGG
rnacentral:rRNA from 1 species